rnacentral:rRNA from 1 species
AUUGAACGCUGGCGGCAGGCCUAACACAUGCAAGUCGAACGGUAGCACAGAGAGCUUGCUCUCGGGUGACGAGUGGCGGACGGGUGAGUAACGUCUGGGAAACUGCCCGAUGGAGGGGGAUAACUACUGGAAACGGUAGCUAAUACCGCAUAACGUCGCAAGACCAAAGUGGGGGACCUUCGGGCCUCACACCAUCGGAUGUGCCCAGAUGGGAUUAGCUAGUAGGUGGGGUAAUGGCUCACCUAGGCGACGAUCCCUAGCUGGUCUGAGGGGAUGACCAGCCGAACUCGAACUGAGACACGGUCCAGACUCCUACGGGAGGCGGCAGUGGGGAAUAUUGCACAAUGGGCGCAAGCCUGAUGCAGCCAUGCCGCGUGUAUGAAGAAGGCCUUCGGGUUGUAAAGUACUUUCAGCGGGGAGGAAGGCGGUGAAGUUAAUAGCUUCACCGAUUGACGUUACCCGCAGAAGAAGCACAGGCUAACUCCGUGCCAGCAGCCGCGGUAAGAC